UCCCUCGCUCUCUGCCCCUUCCCGUCCCCCCCCCCCCGCCUCUCAAAAAUAAAUAAACAUUAAAAAAUUAAAAAAAAAGCAGCCUGCAUUAGGGAAUCACAGAUACACACACACACACACACACACACACACACACACACACACACACACACACACACUUUGUCAAUGCGUCUCCUCUUGGAGCUAGAGGAGCAAAGAAAGGAGAAAAGACUGCUCAUGGCAUAUAUUUUUCUCCACCUCUGCAGCUGUCACAGGGAAAUCCUGUGAUGUCAGAGGUGGCAGGUAGGAGAGUCCUGAGAUGUGGGGGCCUGUGAACUUUGAAGGAGAGUCCCAGUGCUGCUUCCCGCAGUGUGAUCGGCACCUGUUUUGCUUAUCAUCCCUUCUCUGGCUUGCUUUAAGAGUGCCCACUGAAACCACGCAUUCCGAAAUGCACCAAACCAUUUUUUUUGUUUUAAAUAUCAACGGGGAGAAAAAUCAGAAACAAAGGCACAACCUCAAAGCAGCAGAAAUGUUCCGACUGCCUCUUCCUCAGCCACAGCGGUUGGUCUCAGCAAUUUUGACUCUUGGAGAAUUCCAAAAAAGAAGAGGGAUAAGGAAACACCUCUCACGGCAUUCCUCAGGGAUCUGGACUUCUCUGAAAAACGGCUUGAUGGCCCCAACACCUACAUGCCAAACAGUAAGCAACCACUGUUUGGCUUGGCUGUUUGCUUGACACCAACCUACUGCUCAGUGGGUGCCUGAGCUUUCUAAAAAGAAAGAUCUUUCCAAAUGAUAACAAACUUCCAAGUACACAUUUGGUACCUUAAAUUUAUUAGGCCUGCUGCAAUGAACAAACUGUCCUUGUUACUUAUUUCCAAGAGCAGUUGUAGUUUAAAAAAAUAAAAUUUCUGUCCAUUUUUAAUAUUUGCUGUUC
rnacentral:lncRNA from 1 species